rnacentral:piRNA from 1 species
UACAUAUUUAAGGGCAUGAUGUAAUGUGU